ensembl:snoRNA Y65B4BR.12 ncRNA
AUAAUUAGUGUCUUAUUUUUGUUGAUUUCUUGUCAAAUUUUUGUAAUUGCAUCGAAAUAGGCCAAAAAUAAAGUAAAAAUCAACUUCCAACACAGAAAAACUGACAAAAUUGAAGAUUUUUGCUGAAUUCAGGCAAUUUUUCGUAAUUUUGAUCCUC